ACAGCAGUAGCCGCGGGAAUACGAAGGGUGCAAGCGUUACUCGGAAUUACUGGGCGUAAAGCGUGCGUAGGUGGUGGUUUAAGUCCGUUGUGAAAGCCCUGGGCUCAACCUGGGAAUUGCAGUGGAUACUGGGUCACUAGAGUGUGGUAGAGGAUAGUGGAAUUUCCGGUGUAGCAGUGAAAUGCGUAGAGAUCGGAAGGAACAUCUGUGGCGAAGGCGACUAUCUGGGCCAACACUGACACUGAGGCACGAAAGCGUGGGGAGCAAACAGGAUUAGAUACCCCAGUAGUCCCUGUCUCUUAUAA
rnacentral:rRNA from 1 species